rnacentral:SRP_RNA from 1 species
CUGUGCUAGAUGGGAAGUUAGCGGUUUCCUGUAACCUGAAACCCGCUAUAUGCAGGAUUGAAUUCCAAUAGACGGGUGCUGCUGAAUGUUGUAAAAGAUUUAUUAAUAAUAUUGAUACAUUAGCUCUACGCAAUAGGUAUUUUCUGAACCCCGCCAGGUCUGGAAAGAAGCAACGGUAGGAAUUAUAUUUAUGUGCCGUAGAAUCCUGAUGUUGAGUUAGAGAUUUUUCUUUCAAUGUUAACAGAGAAUUCAACUAUUGGUGCACAG